CUUGACCGACCCGAGCAGCACCGGCCGGUCCGCGGGCCGGUCCCGCCCGUAGGUCGCCAGGAUGGCCUGCGCCUC
rnacentral:antisense_RNA from 1 species